rnacentral:rRNA from 1 species
UACGGGGGGGAGCAAGCGUUGUUCGGAAUUACUGGGCGUAAAGGCUCGUAGGUGGCCAACUAAGUCAGACGUGAAAUCCCUCGGCUUAACCGGGGAACUGCGUCUGAUACUGGAUGGCUUGAGAUUGGGAGAGGGAUGCGGAAUUCCAGGUGUAGCGGUGAAAUGCGUAGAUAUCUGGAGGAACACCGGUGGCGAAGGCGGCAUCCUGGACCAACACUGACACUGAGGAGCGAAAGCCAGGGGAGCAAAGCGGG